UACAGAGGGGGCAAGCGUUGUUCGGAAUUACUGGGCGUAAAGGGCGCGUAGGCGGCCUGUUAAGUCGAACGUGAAAUCCCCGGGCUCAACCCGGGAACUGCGUCCGAUACUGGUUGGCUUGAGUUUGGGAGAGGGAUGCGGAAUUCCAGGUGUAGCGGUGAAAUGCGUAGAUAUCAGGAGGAACACCGAUGGCGAAGGCAGGUCUCUGGGCUGACACUGACGCUCAUGCACAAAAGCGUGGGGAGCAAACAGG
rnacentral:rRNA from 1 species